AGUGAACGCUGGCGGUAGGCCUAACACAUGCAAGUCGAACGGCAGCACAGUAAGAGCUUGCUCUUACGGGUGGCGAGUGGCGGACGGGUGAGGAAUACAUCGGAAUCUACUUUUUCGUGGGGGAUAACGUAGGGAAACUUACGCUAAUACCGCAUACGACCUACGGGUGAAAGCAGGGGAUCUUCGGACCUUGCGCGAUUGAAUGAGCCGAUGUCGGAUUAGCUAGUUGGCGGGGUAAAGGCCCACCAAGGCGACGAUCCGUAGCUGGUCUGAGAGGAUGAUCAGCCACACUGGAACUGAGACACGGUCCAGACUCCUACGGGAGGCCGCAGUGGGGAAUAUUGGACAAUGGGCGCAAGCCUGAUACAGCCAUACCGCGUGGGUGAAGAAGGCCUUCGGGUUGUAAAGCCCUUUUGUUGGGAAAGAAAAGCAGCAGGUUAAUACCCCGCUGUUCUGACGGUACCCAAAGAAUAAGCACCGGCUAACUUCGUG
rnacentral:rRNA from 1 species